rnacentral:rRNA from 1 species
CAGCCCUAAACGAUGCGCGUUAGGUGUAUCGGUGACCACGAGUCACCGAGGUGCCGAAGGGAAACCGUGAAACGUGCCGCCUGGGAAGUACGGUCGCAAGGCUGAAACUUAAAGGAAUUGGCGGGGGGAGCACCACAACGGGUGGAGCCUGCGGUUUAAUUGGAUUCAACGCCGGAAAUCUUACCGGGACCGACAGCAACAUGAAGGCCAAGCUGAAGACUUUGCCGGAUUAGCUGAGAGGUGGUGCAUGGCGUCAGUGACU